rnacentral:rRNA from 1 species
UACGUAGGGGGCAAGCGUUGUCCGGAAUUAUUGGGCGUAAAGAGCUCGUAGGCGGUUCGUCACGUCGGCUGUGAAAACCUGAGGCUCAACCUCAGGCCUGCAGUCGAUACGGGCGGACUCGAGUUCGGCAGGGGAGACUGGAAUUCCUGGUGUAGCGGUGAAAUGCGCAGAUAUCAGGAGGAACACCGGUGGCGAAGGCGGGUCUCUGGGCCGAUACUGACGCUGAGGAGCGAAAGCGUGGGGAGCGAACAGG